rnacentral:sRNA from 1 species
GCUGGGUGCAGUGGUGUACACCUGUAAUCCCAGCAGCUCGGGAGGCCGAGGCAGGAGGAUCAUGAGUUUAAAGCCAGCCUCAG